UGGCUCAGUGGUUAAGAGCACUGGCUGCUCUUCCAGAGAACCUGGGUUUAAUUCCCAG
rnacentral:tRNA from 1 species